rnacentral:lncRNA from 1 species
GCUCGCAGGGAGGGCCCCGAGCUGGCCCUCAGCGACCAGGGCCCGAGCUCCGCGGCGGGCACAGCUCCCAGCCCCGCUCCGCGCUCCCGCGCCCUCAGGCUCCGGGGCAGAGCACGCGGAGACCCAGCCCUGGGGAGGAGGAAUCGAGCGGCCGGCGCCUGGCGGCCAAGCACCAGAACCAGCCCUCCCGCCCUGCGGCUCCCGAGCAGAGGCCCGGCUGGAGGGGGCUCCUCGGUUCGGGCCGACCCGCUCGCUCCGGGGAAGUUGGUGGGAACGGGGCGCGGGGCUUACCGCCUUACCUCCGCCUCUCCAGGUGCCUGCCACGCAGCGCUCCAAGGCGGAGCCGGGAAGCGACGCCUCAGCGCGGCUCCUCACGGCCGCCGGCUCCUCCGAGCCGCUAUCCCGCGCCCUGCCCGGCCCGGCUCCCGCCGCGCGGCCCCACACGCUCGGCUGGGCGCCUGCCGGAGCCCGCCCUCUGUCGGGCGCGGGGCGGCCGCGCGGGAGCCGAAAUGGCGGCGCUGCCCUCCCGCCCGCGGGGGCCUCCGUCGGCGGCGUCCCACGCGAGGCGCUCCGUGUCCCGACUCCGGUCCCACACAGGGCGGAGCGAAAGUUCGCGACAGACUUACCUCAGCUCGGGCUACGAGUGGAGGGGUGGGAUGGGUGAUGAGGCAGGGAGCUCUGAGCCCCCGGAGCCUUCUCGCGGGGCUCCUGGUAACGCCGGAGAAGUUGGUUUGUGCUGCGGGGUGGUGUGGGUUUAACCACAGCGGAACGGGCUGCAGACCGCAGUCUCCUCCCUUGAGGCAACAGGAUAAGAUAAAUCAGUGUACUCCUCCAGCCGAAGGCACUUUUGACUUAUCUGAUCCCCGGGGUUUAUGGGGGCAGCUGAUCCACCACCAAACCCACUUUUGCAGUCACAGUGAUGAUUGUCUCCGCUGGGAAGCAGAGGCUCUGCAGCUCGGCACAGCCCUCUGUGUGGUGACAGAGGCCACAGAGCCUCUUACCAUCCCACCCAGCCUGGCCUGCCCUUUGCCGAAAGAGGAGAUGGGGAAAGGACCUGCAGCCCAGCAUGACGCUGCCAGUGCUGUACCUCAGGUUCACACAUGGCAAGCUGGUGACAGUAACAAACCAGAGCCCCAAAAGAACAAGCUACAGACGCAGUUUUCCUCCUGA